GAUGAACGCUGGCGGCGUGCCUAAUACAUGCAAGUCGAGCGAACAGACGAGGAGCUUGCUCCUCUGACGUUAGCGGCGGACGGGUGAGUAACACGUGGAUAACCUACCUAUAAGACUGGGAUAACUUCGGGAAACCGGAGCUAAUACCGGAUAAUAUAUUGAACCGCAUGGUUCAAUAGUGAAAGACGGUUUUGCUGUCACUUAUAGAUGGAUCCGCGCCGCAUUAGCUAGUUGGUAAGGUAACGGCUUACCAAGGCAACGAUGCGUAGCCGACCUGAGAGGGUGACCGGCCACACUGGAACUGAGACACGGUCCCAACUCCUACGGGAGGCAGCAGUAGGGAAUCUUCCGCAAUGGGCGAAAGCCUGACGGAGCAACGCCGCGUGAGUGAUGAAGGUCUUCGGAUCGUAAAACUCUGUUAUUAGGGAAGAACAAAUGUGUAAGUAACUAUGCACGUCUUGACGGUACCUAAUCAGAAAGCCACGGCUAACUACGUG
rnacentral:rRNA from 1 species